GGCGGACGGGUGAGUAACGCGUAGGAAUCUGCCUCAGAGUGGGGGACAACUUAGGGAAACUUAAGCUAAUACCGCAUAUGCCCUACGGGGGAAAGCGGGGGAUCUCAUCUUCGGAUGGGACCUCGCGCUAUGAGAUGAGCCUGCGUGGGAUUAGCUAGUUGGUAGGGUAAAGGCCUACCAAGGCGACGAUCCCUAGCUGGUCUGAGAGGACGAUCAGCCACACUGGGACUGAGACACGGCCCAGACUCCUACGGGAGGCAGCAGUGGGGAAUAUUGGACAAUGGGCGAAAGCCUGAUCCAGCAAUACCGCGUGUGUGAAGAAGGCCUCAGGGUUGCAAAGCACUUUCAAUUGGGAGGAAAACCUACCGGUCAAUACCCGGUAGCUUGACAUUACCUUUAGAAGAAGCACCGGCUAACUCCGUGCCAGCAGCCGCGGUAAUACGGAGGGUGCGAGCGUUAAUCGGAAUUACUGGGCGUAAAGCGUGCGUAGGCGGUUCGUUAAGUCAGAUGUGAAAGCCCUGGGCUCAACCUGGGAACGGCAUUUGAAACUGGCGGACUAGAGUUUAGUAGAGGGGAGUGGAAUUUCAGGUGUAGCGGUGAAAUGCGUAGAUAUCUGAAGGAACACCAGUGGCGAAGGCGACUCCCUGGACUAGAACUGACGCUGAGGUACGAAAGCGUGGGUAGCAAACAGGAUUAGAUACCCUGGUAGUCCACGCUGUAAACGAUGUCGACUAGCCGUUGGUCCUAUUUACAGGAUUAGUGGCGCAGCUAACGCAUUAAGUCGACCGCCUGGGGAGUACGGCCGCAAGGUUAAAACUCAAAUGAAUUGACGGGGGCCCGCACAAGCGGUGGAGCAUGUGGUUUAAUUCGAUGCAACGCGAAGAACCUUACCUAC
rnacentral:rRNA from 1 species